UUUAACACACUUAUUGUGGUAUGGUUCCUGUAUAGUAAACUACACAUAUUUCAAAUGUACGAUUUGAUGAAUUUUUAUAGAUGUUUACACCAGUGAAACCAACACCACAUUCAAGAUAGCUGACAUUUCUAUCACUCCCCAAGAGGUACAAGUUUUGAUUUCCCAAUU